rnacentral:misc_RNA from 1 species
GUUGGGGGGUUGAGAUAUUCGGUAUUGUGGUUUAGGGAUAUGGAUCAGAUUCAGUCACUAGUUAAGGGAGUCAAGGUGAACUUAUUCCUAUAUAUGGUCUGUCAAGGAAUAAGUUCACUUUGUGACUCUUAAAAGUGAUCGAAAUCUAAUCCAUGACCCUGAACCGCAAAACCAGAUAUCUCGACCCCCCCAACUUUUAAAACCGGUGCA